rnacentral:rRNA from 1 species
CCCUACGGGUGGCAGCAGUCGAGAAUCAUUCACAAUGGGGGAAACCCUGAUGGUGCGACGCCGCGUGGGGGAAUGAAGGUCUUCGGAUUGUAAACCCCUGUCAUGUGGGAGCAAAUUAAAAAGAUAUUACCACAAGAGGAAGAGACGGCUAACUCUGUGCCAGCAGCCGCGGUAAUACAGAGGUCUGAAGCGUUGUUCGGAAUCACUGGGCGUAAAGCGUGCGUAGGCUGUUUCGUAAGUCGGGUGUGAAAGGCGCGGGCUCAACCCGCGGACAGCACAUGAUACUGCGAGACUUGAGUAAUGGAGGGGGAACCGGAAUUCUCGGUGUAGCAGUGAAAUGCGUAGAUAUCGAGAGGAACACUCGUGGCGAAGGCGGGUUCCUGGACAUUAACUGACGCUGAGGCACGAAGGCCAGGGGAGCGAAAGGGAUUAGAUACCCCUGUAGUC